GGUCUGGUAGCACAACCGGUUAGUGCAUCUGCGCAAAGUAGGGCGGCAAAAAAUAUCUAAGCAGAAGAUCUCCGUUAGAGUCGGGGUUGGGCCA